UACGGGAGGCAGCAGUGGGGAAUAUUGCACAAUGGGCGAAAGCCUGAUGCAGCUAUGCCGCGUGUAUGAAGAAGGCCUUAGGGUUGUAAAGUACUUUCAUCGGGGAGGAAAAAACAAAACUAAUAAUUUUAUUUCUUGACGUUACCCGAAAAAGAAGCACCGGCUAACUCCGUGCCAGCAGCCGCGGUAAUACGGAGGGUGCUAGCGUUAAUCAGAAUUACUGGGCGUAAAGAGCACGUAGGUGGUUUUUUUAAAGUCAGAUGUGAAAUCCCUGGGCUUAACCUAGGAACUGCAUUUUGAAACUGAAAUACUAGAGUAUCGUAGAAGGAGGUAGAAUUCUAGGUGUAGCGGUGAAAUGCGUAGAUAUCUGGAGGAAUACCUGUGGCGAAAGCGGCCUCCUAAACGAAUACUGACACUGAGGGUGCGAAAAGCGUGGGGAGCAAACAGGGAUUAGAUACC
rnacentral:rRNA from 1 species